rnacentral:tRNA from 1 species
UGGGGGAUAGUUUAGUGGCAGAACAGCGGAUUCUGGAUCCGUGAGCCGUGGUUCGACUCCACGUCCCCCAG